UGGGGAAUAUUGGACAAUGGGCGAAAGCCUGAUCCAGCAAUACCGCGUGUGUGAAGAAGGCCUGAGGGUUGUAAAGCACUUUCAAUAGAGACGAAAAGCCUGAGAUUAAUACUCUCGGGUCUUGACUUAACCUAUAGAAGAAGCACCGGCUAACUCCGUGCCAGCAGCCGCGGUAAUACGGAGGGUGCAAGCGUUAAUCGGAAUUACUGGGCGUAAAGCGCUCGUAGGCGGUUUGUUAAGUCGGAUGUGAAAUCCCCGGGCUCAACCUGGGAACUGCAUUCGAUACUGGCAGGCUAGAGUAUAGUAGAGGCAAGUGGAAUUCCGGGUGUAGCGGUGAAAUGCGUAGAUAU
rnacentral:rRNA from 1 species